CCUAUCAAGAUGUCUGAUUCUACCGAAUCCACCAACCGCUUUGCCGGCAAUGUGCGGCAGGCAGAAGCGCCGAACGAAAAGACGCUGCGGAUCAAAGUGAGUGCUCUGAAGCGCACUAUCAAAGAUUUGGAGUUUGCGAAGCGAGAAGUGGAGCGGGAGCUGCAGCGCCUCGACACCCUGCGCCAGAGUGAUCCAGACCGUGUUCCUCAGCAGACGAAGGUUGUCGACGAGGCCCAAAUGAUGGUACCCCAUUCUGUGAACCGGAUUAUGGCCUCAGUGAAGGAUCUCUCUGACUAUCUGGAGAAGGAGGGCUCUACUGUGUCGAAUGAGGAGCUUUUAGAUUUGGCGCGUGCCACUAUGGCCGACGGCCAAGCGGCAGUUUCGUAAAAUGGGAUGGGCUCUCUCCCCAGUUUCUCCUAUGGUGAAGUCCAGGCCAAUAAGUUUCAAAGACAAACAGAAGGAUAGAGAGAGGAUAACCCCACUCAUGCGUUCUCACGACUAGCUUUAUGUUCUUUUUUCCUCCCUCAGUGUUGACUGUUC
rnacentral:misc_RNA from 1 species